rnacentral:lncRNA from 1 species
AUAAACGAGCUCUCUGUGGAAAGAGAAAGGUGGACCGGUGGCAUCGUUUCCGCCACUGCUCGCCGGGAGUUGGAGGAGAAAGAGAGGUGAUUAGGGUCUGGUGUGCCGGCGGCCAUGGCUGCUGCCGCUCCUUCAGUUCAGCGACGGACAUCCUCUUUCUCAGCAACAAAUCAAUUGGAAGCAGAAGAAGAUUUUAGCCCUCCAGCUUCAUUUGAACCCUAG